GAGCGGGCGUAGCAAUACGUCAGCGGCAGACGGGUGAGUAACGCGUGGGAACGUACCUUUUGGUUCGGAACAACACAGGGAAACUUGUGCUAAUACCGGAUAAGCCCUUACGGGGAAAGAUUUAUCGCCGAAAGAUCGGCCCGCGUCUGAUUAGCUAGUUGGUGAGGUAAUGGCUCACCAAGGCGACGAUCAGUAGCUGGUCUGAGAGGAUGAUCAGCCACAUUGGGACUGAGACACGGCCCAAACUCCUACGGGAGGCAGCAGUGGGGAAUAUUGGACAAUGGGGGCAACCCUGAUCCAGCCAUGCCGCGUGAGUGAUGAAGGCCCUAGGGUUGUAAAGCUCUUUUGUGCGGGAAGAUAAUGACGGUACCGCAAGAAUAAGCCCCGGCUAACUUCGUGCCAGCAGCCGCGGUAAUACGAAGGGGGCUAGCGUUGCUCGGAAUCACUGGGCGUAAAGGGUGCGUAGGCGGGUCUUUAAGUCAGGGGUGAAAUCCUGGAGCUCAACUCCAGAACUGCCUUUGAUACUGAAGAUCUUGAGUUCGGGAGAGGUGAGUGGAACUGCGAGUGUAGAGGUGAAAUUC
rnacentral:rRNA from 1 species